rnacentral:rRNA from 1 species
UACGAAGGGUGCAAGCGUUACUCGGAAUUACUGGGCGUAAAGCGUGCGUAGGUGGUUCGUUAAGUCUGUCGUGAAAGCCCCGAGCUUAACUUGGGAACUGCGCUCGAAACUACUUGGCUAGAGUGUGGCAGAGGGAGGUGGAAUUCCACGUGUAGCGGUGAAAUGCGUAGAGAUGUGGAGGAACACCGAUGGCGAAGGCAGCCUCCUGGGCCAACACUGACGCUCAUGCACGAAAGCGUGGGGAGCAAACAGG